UGAUGUCCAACACAAUGUAAUGUUAUGCUGCAGACAUCGCCGCAGUGUACAACACUGGACAAUCGUAUUUGUAUGGUUUUAAUUUUCUUUAUUCGUACUCAGUCAUUUUCGACCCAGUAAUAUAGUUUACUUGGUGCUAGAGAUGUAUUUGCUGUUCAUGGAAGAUUCUCAUAGAGCUCAGUUUGUGGCGUAUAUUGAUAAACUGCAAAGAUAUGAUUUACUUAAUGUUGAUUCGGCAAUUGACGUGAAGUUCUGUGGAAUUAGUGGCGGUUGUUUAACAAACUCGAACCAUGUCCUGUUCUUUCAAGAUUGAUUAGUGAAGCAUGUUUAUUUGCCAAUUUAUUCUAAGGCAACACACCCGCCACAUCCCAGCGUAUAUAUACAAUGAUUUUAUUAUUAUUGAGAAAAGCAAACAGGGUGUUUAAGCAAGAACUUGGAAUACUUAACGUACUGGAAUUUGAAAGGAAUGAAACAUUCUAAUGCUAACAUUUUACAGAUAGAUGGUGUUCAUUUCAACAACCUAGGAUUUGAAUUUUUUCCACAAUGUGAGAGAAAUGAUUUUGAAGUGCAUUGCAGAUAUGUAAUUCACACAUGUACUGGAAGAUACUGUAUUCUAAUUGGUGGCACAUUUGUAUCUAUAUUAUCAUAUAACAUCGAUGGAUUAUUUUUACUGUAUGGCUAAACACAGGAUGACUGCCAUACACUUGUAAAAUGUUACAGGAAGAGAUUGUUGUAAAUACAGUAUUAUCUCGUGGAAGCUGAUCUUUACGUGUUCUUUUAAUAAGUAUAGAUAUAGUAAGUAUAUUAGCCUGUCAUAUAUGAUAGAACCAUUUCAGUUAGAUAAACAAGACUUUCUGCAGGCUUAUGAACAUGGCAGAUCUUGUAUAUCACAAAUGUUCUGCCCGUUUGUAGUAAAAGACUAAAUGUAAGUAACUGGACUAAUAAAAUUAUAAAAUCUAAACAGAUUGUCUGUAUCUGUUUAUACGUUUGUGGCCGAUUAGUUUAAAUGUAGUUAAAUGGUCUACUAGAAUUAUAAAAUCUAGACACAUUGUCUUUAUUUUCUUAUAUUCUGUUCCACUAUAUAAAUAAUGGUUACAGACAAUCUGUAGUCAAAUACACCGCAAGUUGUCAAAUGGACAACAAAAAAUGAUUGUACUUGACAGCUGUCUACAUUUAUGUAGUCAAGUGGGCUGCAUGGAGUCAAAUGGGCUACUAAGUCUAUGUUACUCAGAUAUUAUGUCCGUAUUGAUGUAGUCAGAUGGACUACUUUGUAUAGUCAGAUGGACUUCUUCGUAUAGUCAAAUGGACUAUAUGUAGUCAUAUGGACUACUUUAUUUAGUCGAUGGAUUAUUUUUACUGUAUGGUUAAACACAGGAUGACUGCCAUACACUUCUAAAAUGUUACAAGAAGAGAUUGUUGUAAAUACAGUAUUUCUUGUGGAAGUUGAUCUUUACAUGCUCUCGUAUAUGGUUUUCUAUUUCAUAUGCCACCAAGACAGCGAAGGCUGCUGCAGCUGGGGAAGCUGCUAAAACCGAACGAA
rnacentral:lncRNA from 1 species